UACGUAGGGUGCGAGCGUUGUCCGGAAUUAUUGGGCGUAAAGAGCUCGUAGGCGGUGUGUCACGUCGGCCGUGAAAACCUGCAGCUUAACUGUGGGCGUGCGGUUGAUACGGGCAUCACUGGAGUUCGGCAGGGGAGACUGGAAUUCCUGGUGUAGCGGUGAAAUGCGCAGAUAUCAGGAGGAACACCGGUGGCGAAGGCGGGUCUCUGGGCCGAUACUGACGCUGAGGCGCGAAGGCGUGGGGAGCGAACGGG
rnacentral:rRNA from 1 species